AGGUGCACUAAAUGCUUUUGUUGGGUUUGAACAGCAGUUGUUGUUGUGUGUGUGUGUGCGUGUGUGCGUGUGUGUGUGUGUGUGUGUGUGUGCGUGCGUGUGUGUGCGUCUGUGUGUGUGUGUGUGUGUGUGUGUGUGUGUGUGUGUGUGUGUGUGUGUGUGUGUGUGUGUGUGUGUGUGUGUGUGCGUAAGCCUCACAUCUGCUGACAGAUGGGAUCUCAGCCAGGACUGAUUUAGAACAAUAACAGUGAUGCAAGGAGGCGAAGCGUGGGCGGAACGAUCGUGCUGAUGCAACUGCAGUUUCUCUAGUGAAGGAAUUUCCUAGUAAACGGGUCAAGGUGAUCGAGCAAACUGAAACACAGGCGUCGAGAAAAGAGGAUGUGAACUGCGCUUUCGUGUUUCGCGCUGUCGCGUCUCCAGGGAUGAAAGUGCGGUUGGCUGUGCAUGCGUUGCUCCUUCGUCUGCUUGUCUGGGCACCAGCGCACGGGGACGAGGCCCACUGAGCAGCUGUCCAGAUGUGUUCAUGGCACAAGUGCAUCAAAUACCUCCAAACCGGCCUGCGUCGAGACAGUGUGAGCAGUGACGCAAGAGCCAGCAGAUCGCGCGACGUGCCCGAAAUCGAAAUUCAAACCAGAUUCGGACGACGUGGCAGAGAGCCAGGCGGCCGGGCGAUAAAAGGAAUCUGUGUAAUCAUUAGCGCGCGUGGGCGGAGAGGGAGUCCCUUCCUGCUUUCUGUCUGCUAUUUAUUGCCCAACAAGAGGGAGGCGUGUGGGAUUCCCACUUUUUUUUUUUUUUGUGUGGGAUGACAGGCUAUAUUAAAGAGUGACUUCCCCAACAAGCUUUACAGUGUGCGUGAUGGAGUCGCAGCAGGCAGCACAGCAGGAGAGGCUGGUGGAGGUCAGAGUGGACCCGCUGUCUGCAGGACCCGCUCGCCACCACUUCACGCACACCAGGACCACGGUGGUCGUGAUGCUAGUGGUUGUUUUGAGUCUGGUCUCGGCCGCUUUGGCUGUUUAUUUUACGCUCAUGUCGCCGUGUAAACAGGAUGCUGCUCCUCUGAAAGACGCCGGAGGGAUCAACGACGGAAUGAGAAAACUAACAGGUCGGAGUCACUCACAGCACAGUGACCUGUCAGAUAUUAAUACUUUAAUGGUGCUGAUGUUGACAUUUCCUUUGUCGUUGUAGAGAGUGAUGAAAAGGGACGAUACGACGUCUUCACGGCGCAAAAAGACGGCAGAUACUUUAUCUACGGCUGGGUGAGUCUCACCAACUUCAACGAGAACAAGAAGAUCCACCUCAAGGACACCUUUGAGGAGGAUAGCAGGCUCCUUGAGACGAAGGACGCGGGGCCAGAGGUCUUCUUCUUCCAAGCCAUCACCCUGGUGAACACCAGCAGGAUAAGUCUGUACUUCAAUUCUUCCUGCACCGAUAGCUUGUUCCACAUCCACGAAGUCUGACCUGACUGUCUGUGCAUCGAGCAUCAUCGUUACGGAUCCGAGGUGCCAAAACCUGUUGCUCUGUGUGUUGUGCAAUUCUUUAGGACGCGUGGAGGCAACGGACCAGGAUUCAGUUUCAUCAAGCGCAGCUCAGUUUCAUGCGUGUGUCGGUAUCUGGGAAACAACAGGGGUGGGGUUCCUCUAAAUCUAAUGUGGAGGGAUGUGAUUGUGAGUCCGGCGGUGAGCUCAGCGUUCGGCCGCUGCACGUGGGACGAUCGCUUAAAUACGUAUCGAUGAGAAAUUGCUCCUAAGCCCAAGGAAAACUCUCAUGACAUUUCAAACAAAGUGUUAAUCUCACUUUCAUAAGAACAAAUGUCUUGUGCACUUACUCAUUCUCAUCUCUCUGACUGACUCCAGUCACCUGUGUGGAGACUCACCAAAGCCUGUAACGCUUCUGUCAUUUCCUUUUCGAGAAUCAACCAACGCGCUCGACAUUAUAUCAACCUGUACAAUUUUACUGAAAUCCAGUAAAAACUGAAACAUCUGUGAAUCUUCUCCAACUCUAAUUUCUUGUAUGUGACAUCACUGGUGCCGUGGGUGGGAGGGGGUUGAUCUGAGGACAGCCUCAGUGCAAAUAUUGGGUAACAUCAC
rnacentral:lncRNA from 1 species